UUUUUUUAGCUAAUUUUGUAGUGUUUCAUUAAAGCUCAUUCUUAAUGAAAGUAGAUUUACAGAUAUGGCUUGUGAAUAAUGUUUAUUUAAAUGUUUUAUGUGCAUUGUUUUGAAAACGAAUACCACGUCCUUUGAGUAUGCCCAGCAAACACAUAUUAGGUCUCAUAUGUUUGGCAAAAGUUGAACUGUUCUGUGUCAGACACUCCAAAUUAAUGUAUUUAUUAUUAUUAUUGUGCUUGGCAAAAGUCUCUUCUGGUCUGCUUGUUUUAUUUUUCUACAUUUUAUGUAUUGCUAUCUAAAAUCGCGUAUACUAUUUUCUAAUGACGAUAAGUUUAUCUAUUAUUUUCUGCAUAAUUCUUUUUUUUUUGUUAUAUGUUUUCAUAACUAUGAUUGUAACUAGGCUGACCAACAUUGUUGGUGGUGUAUUAUAUUCCAGUAUUGUGCACUUACACAACUUAGAACAACUAAUUUUUCUGACUGCUAUCAACAAACGUUUUUAUCAGCUCUUCACAUUUUAGAUAAGUUUUGGAUUUUCAAAUAUUUUGAAUUCGAACCUCAUCAAAGAGACAUUUAUGGUCUAA
rnacentral:lncRNA from 1 species